AGUUGCAGGAAUUUAGCCAAUUCAGAGGUCUUGUUCUCCAUAAUUUGGAAUUUUCCUUCGGAUUUGAUCAAGUUGGAUAGAGUUGGUCAAACCCAAUGGGAAAAAGAUGAAAACAACAAGAAACAGAAACAAACAGCAACAACAACAACAACAAAAACAAUGCAUUUAAUUAAAUGAAGAUGAGCUCAUGCUGGAGUAGGGUGGACUCUGAACCCAGUGGGACAAGCGUCCUUAUUAAGAAGAGGGAAAUCUGGACACACACAGAGCAGAGACCGCCGUGUGAAGAUGGAGGCAGAGAUCGGAGAGAUGCUGCCACACGCCACAAAUGCCUGGGGCUCCCAGAAACUACACGGAGCCUCCCCCAGCGGCUUCAGCAGGAGCAUGGCUCGGCCAACACUUUGAUCUUGGUCUUCCAGCCUCCAGAACGUUUUCCUAAAAUUCCCUUUUCCACUGGUGUGUGGUGCAAGAUGAGGCACAUUUUCCAUGGAUGGUGAACAGAGGGAGGAGCCUUUUGAUCACAACCAGGUCACCCCACUUCUAAGCCACUGUGCCUCCAGCCCCACAAGACUAAGGAGAGAGAGCGCAGCGUGGUGGAGAGUGAGCUGUGCUGGGACCAUUGUUUCCGUAACCUCGUUUUCUGUGUCCAGCUGACACACCUUCAAAGUGGCAUCAGGUCCUAAACUGUAGCUUGCAAUGUGCCUGUUUCCAGAAACCAAGGUGAAAGUGCUUUUAGACAGUGUUCCCAUGCAAGAGUCCCUUCCCAGCUUUUUUCUGGAAAUGCAUGUUUCUCUGAACUCUGAGUCCCAAGAAAAAUCACUUGAGACACCAAGAAAAUGGGGGAAGUGCUAAAAUUGUGUGGGAAUUCAAGCUUAACAAUAAACAUCAAGACAUUUUUGAUAAAAAUGAAUCCACUGACAUCGGGGAGGAGCAAGAGAACAGCACGCUGACACUGGGUCAGAGGCUAAGACCGACAUUUCUGGGAACCACUCCCGGAAGGGCACAGAGGAGACGCUUUCAGCCUCUCAUCAGCCAGCCUGGCCUGUAGCUGCUGCACGUUAUGAGUGUGUUCCUGGCAUGACUGCUUCUAACAAAGAAAUGCUGAGGCAGUGUCACG
rnacentral:lncRNA from 1 species